rnacentral:rRNA from 1 species
UACGUAGGGGGCAAGCGUUGUCCGGAAUUAUUGGGCGUAAAGAGCUUGUAGGCGGUUUGUCGCGUCUGCUGUGAAAAUCCGGGGCUCAACCCCGGGACUUGCAGUGGGUACGGGCAGACUAGAGUUCGGUAGGGGAGUCUGGAAUUCCUGGUGUAGCGGUGAAAUGCGCAGAUAUCAGGAGGAACACCGGUGGCGAAGGCGGGACUCUGGGCCAAUGACUGACGCUGAGGAGCGAAAGCGUGGGGAGCAAACAGG